CCUACGGGAGGCAGCAGUGGGGAAUAUUGGACAAUGGGCGAAAGCCUGAUCCAGCAAUGCCGCGUGAGUGAUGAAGGCCUUAGGGUUGUAAAGCUCUUUUACCAGGGAUGAUAAUGACAGUACCUGGAGAAUAAGCUCCGGCUAACUCCGUGCCAGCAGCCGCGGUAAUACGGAGGGAGCUAGCGUUGUUCGGAAUUACUGGGCGUAAAGAGUACGUAGGCGGUUAUUCAAGUCAGAGGUGAAAGCCCGGGGCUCAACCCCGGAACUGCCUUUGAAACUAGAUAGCUAGAAUCUUGGAGAGGUCAGUGGAAUUCCGAGUGUAGAGGUGAAAUUCGUAGAUAUUCGGAAGAACACCAGUGGCGAAGGCGACUGACUGGACAAGUAUUGACGCUGAGGUACGAAAGCGUGGGGAGCAAACAGGAUUAGAUACCCUGGUAGUCCACGCCGUAAACGAUGAUAACUAGUUGUUCGGGUCACUUGGUGCCUGAGUGACGCAGCUAACGCAUUAAGUUAUCCGCCUGGGGAGUACGGUCGCAAGNUUAAAACUCAAAGGAAUUGACGG
rnacentral:rRNA from 1 species